GCGGGUAUCGUAUAUCGGUAUUAUAUUACCUUGCCAAGGUAAGGAGAGGGGUUCGACUCCCCUUACCCGCU
rnacentral:tRNA from 1 species